UGGACUUCUCGCGAGAACUUGAGCAGGUUUUCCAGAGGAUGGCCCAGCUAGAUCGGACGACAGCUAGAUCGGACGACAGCCAGAGGCAAGGCAAGUUCUCUGGCAAGAUAACACUAGCCUCAAUGGGUUCUGGGGAGAGGAGGAGGAGAAAGAGGAAUCAGAGCCACUCAGAAGAAUCUGAACUGAGCAGUGGUAGACCGAGCUGGAUACACUUUGUCUCUGCAAACACCCAUCACAGCUAAUGAGAUGGAAAUGCAAUGGGAAAUGAACCACACUUUUUAAAACCUUCUUUUCCAAUUUCAUUGACUAUGAAAAUUUGCAGGAAACCUUCAGAGAUGAGAAGGGAGAUGGUGAAAGCAAACCAGACCAGAAUACAAAAUAACUUCAUUCACAUCAGAAAUCACUGGCAGGAUUUUGCUGUUACACACAAUCUGUUAGUUGGUUGAAUGGAGGACAGCCUGGUCAGAGUGGGGUCAACUGUGCCAAAAGAAGACAACAGUCAUCAGUUCCCUUUUUCUCCGGGCAGAAACCAGGACGUGACAUUAUCCAUGCGAGCAAGGCAAGGGUUUAAUGGCUUUGUAUUUGCAUAAUGACUUUCCCUUAGUGCUUUUGCUGUCCUGACUAAUUGCUUUAGAAUCUUCUGCUACAUCUGUUGGGUUUUAACACUUUUGUUGUUGUUGUUGUUGCUGAGGAUGGAACCCAGGGCCUUGUGCAACAUCCCCAGCUGUCCUGUUACUGGAUGAGGGGUUCCAUGGGCUCCUUUCCUGGUCCUUAGUGUUCUGGACAAAGAACUGGACAAGACACACAAAAAGGGCAGCAAGGAUAUACAGUCAUUGAAGGCAGAAAGGAGCGGGCAGACUUUAGUAUCAGAGAUACCUGGGCUGGUCUCCACCUCAUGUAAAGAAGGCCCUGAGAUACCUGUCCUAUCAAAAACUCAUUUGAGCUGGGCAUGGUGGCUCAUACCUGUAAUCCCAGCACUUUGGGAGGCUGUGGCAGGAUGACUGCUGCAUGUUCAAGGCCAUCCUGGGCUACACAGUGAGUUUAAGGCCAGGUUGCACUAUGUAGCAAGACCCUAUCUCAAAAAAAAAAAAAAAGUAGCACACCAAAACAACAACAAUAAACCCCUCACUUGAUAUAAACUGUCAUUUCAAAAAGUUCACUCAGCCUCUCAGCACAGGUAAAUGAAAGAUCAGAAACAUCUUUGGUGCUCCCCUCCCUCACCCCCUUUUCUCUCGUGACAGCAUCUCCGCUAAGUGGCCAGGCUGGACUUGAACUUGAGAUCCUCCCACUGAAGCCUCCGGAGUAACUGGGAUUACAGCCAUGUGUCUUCUAAUAAAAUCAAAAUCUUCAAGCCCAGCCAUGUCCCAGGCCACCUAUAUAAAAUUUUGGAACAUGGGUUGUAAGAAACAGAAUUCCUAGGAUUUUCCUGGUGACAUAUAUGAUGUUCUAUCAGGAAGAAGGUCAUAACCCAGGAAGCGCCUGGUUUCACAGGGCUGUGAUCCCAGCUGCUCAGGAGGUGAAUUCAGAACUGCAAAUUUGAUCUCACCUGGGCAAUUCAGGGAGACUCUGUCUCAAAAGUCAGGGGCCAGGGAUUUGGCUCAGUGGUGUCGGUGCCUGCCUGGCAAGCACAAGGUCCUGAGUUUGAUCCCCAUACCAAAAAAAAAAGUUAGAGUGUGUGGAGGGGCGGGGCACUCAGGGCUUCCUGAUGCAGUCUCCAGUAGCAGAGGAGGCAGUUGGACACUUCUGCUCCUGCAUGCUGUGUACUCACCGGAUUGAGGCAGGAGGGGGGAAAUAAACUAGGUAGAGAAGAGACAAAGAAAACCAUAAUUGGAUUGAGGCAGGAGGGGGGAAAUAAGCUAGGUAGAGAAGAGACAAAGAAAACCAUAAUUUCAAAAGAGUGCUUUUAAAAAGACUGCAACUUCAGGACACAAAGCUACC
rnacentral:lncRNA from 1 species